UACAGAGGAUGCCUGAACUGAAUUGCAAACUCUGACCCCCACCCCCCCCAGGCUGUAAUAGUGUUGUGCUAACCAUUACACUACCAAGGUGCUCUAAGAUUCUACUCUAUGUCUGUAUGACUAUUAUUUUAAUACAACCCAGAGAUUUGGGCACGUCAUAUUCCUUGAAGUUUCCAUUUGAUGUGAAAGUCAUUCUAUGAUGAGAACAAUCAUCAGCUUUAUGAACUGAGUGGUACUAGACGGGUACUGCCUAUGAUGAGUGCGCUGAUAUAUUGCGCUGUGACAGGUUUCAAGAUUGCUAAUCCCCACCGCAGAAGCCAGUAUCUUCACGUUAGAAACUUCUCUCAGAAACGUGAUGGUGAAAGUGAACAUUCCCUGGGCUCACAGCACUCUGAAGUAAAUAGCUGAUGUGAUAUUUACGUUUUCUGCUUUUUUUUUGCUAAUUCAAUUAAAUCUCAAAUAUGUCACAUGUCAAAUUAGUCAAUGUUUGUUUAUCUGUUUACUUAGAGAUACCGCACGCUAUUCAAUCUACCUUAAAUAUUCAUAUAUUUUUUAUCCCAACAAUGGUUACAUCCCGACACGCGAGACAGAAGCAAGGUCGCAUUGUGUAUUCCACGGACCAGCAAAGACCGGCCAGCUUAGCGAACAGAGCGGUGGACACCCCUGCUGAAAUCCUGAGGAAAUCACACAGGGGGGAUCACAAGGCCGAGGAAAGAGGACCGGGUCAAGACAACAGAGACUUUUGGAGAAGAGGAGUUCAGUGGGUAAUACCGUUCCGCCUGACUGGAAGUGCACUGAUAGCGGUAAGCGUAAAGGAGUUGGGUGCUUACUGAUCUGGUUAACAACGGAUGGUGCAAUCCGGGGCAUAUUACGAUCGAGGAACGUGUUUGCAGACUGGAUAUUGAACUUUUUACUGUUGGACUUCAGCCACAUUCCACUGUGAUACAACACUUGGCGGCACGGGAGGUCGUUCCUGCCUGUGGCCAUCUAACGUGCAGCUCCUCCCGUGGAGGGUCAGACACCCUGAGCCAAUAGACUGGUCCUGGACUUACUUUCCAUCUGGUCCAAUAACUCAAUACAUCUGUUACACCACCCCGAGAAGAGUUCCCAGAGCCUGGCACACGAGGCACUCUGAGUGAAGUCAAGCCCAUGAUUGGAAUUUGCUGUAACUCUGCCAUGGCCAGUCCCAAGCCCGGCUGCGACAGGAGGAGGGUUGGGCAAGGGGCGAGCAGCCCCAUCCCAUAAAAACCCAGAGCUACAGAAACACCAAGAGAAGCUCCAAAGUCCUCAUCCCUGAGACAAGGGUCUUUGCCUGGAAGGCGUAUGAAGUCAUGUGGUGGAAUCAGAAGCCUCAGGGCUGAUUGACCUUAUAGAGAACUCUGGUGAGCUGCUGUCUCCGGCCUCCACCCCAGUCGGGGUGAUGGGCUCAACAAGAAGGAGGAAUUUACUGUGCUGUGUUUGACAUGAUUAAAAAAUAACAUUCAACAAUAAUAAAGAAUAAAGAAUUAUAUUAAAAUAAUGUUAGGGGUACAGAUAUGGAAUAAAUAAAUGCCAGCAUGUACUUACAACGUGAACAGUAUUUUAAAAAAUAGUUUAAAACAUUUACAGUGCAGUGCAGUGAGUGAGGUAAUAGAUGGAGAGUGCUAACAUCUAACAUCUUUCUCAAAUGAUCCA